rnacentral:rRNA from 1 species
GAUGAACGCUGGCGGCGUGCCUAAUACAUGCAAGUCGAGCGAACAGACGAGGAGCUUGCUCCUCUGACGUUAGCGGCGGACGGGUGAGUAACACGUGGAUAACCUACCUAUAAGACUGGGAUAACUUCGGGAAACCGGAGCUAAUACCGGAUAAUAUAUUGAACCGCAUGGUUCAAUAGUGAAAGACGGUUUUGCUGUCACUUAUAGAUGGAUCCGCGCCGCAUUAGCUAGUGGGUAAGGUAACGGCUUACCAAGGCAACGAUGCGUAGCCGACCUGAGAGGGUGAUCGGCCACACUGGAACUGAGACACGGUCCAGACUCCUACGGGAGGCAGCAGUAGGGAAUCUUCCGCAAUGGGCGAAAGCUUGACGGAGCAACGCCGCGUGAGUGAUGAAGGUCUUCGGAUCGUAAAACUCUGUUAUUAGGGAAGAACAAAUGUGUAAGUAACUAUGCACGUCUUGACGGUACCUAAUCAGAAAGCCACGGCUAACUACGUG